UAGGGAAUCUUCCGCAAUGGACGCAAGUCUGACGGAGCAACGCCGCGUGAGUGAAGAAGGAUUCCGGUUCGUAAAACUCUGUUGUUAGAGAAGAACAGCGCAUAGAGUAACUGUUAUGCGUGUGACGGUAUCUAACCAGAAAGCCACGGCUAACUACGUGCCAGCAGCCGCGGUAAUACGUAGGUGGCAAGCGUUGUCCGGAUUUAUUGGGCGUAAAGCGAGCGCAGGCGGUCAAUUAAGUCUGAUGUGAAAGCCCCCGGCUCAACCGGGGAGGGUCAUUGGAAACUGGUUGACUUGAGUGCAGAAGAGGAGAGUGGAAUUCCAUGUGUAGCGGUGAAAUGCGUAGAUAUAUGGAGGAACACCAGUGGCGAAGGCGACUCUCUGGUCUGUAACUGACGCUGAGGUUCGAAAGCGUGGGUAGCAAACAGG
rnacentral:rRNA from 1 species